UGGGAUAACUUCGGGAAACCGGAGCUAAUACCGGAUAAUAUAUUGAACCGCAUGGUUCAAUAGUGAAAGACGGUUUUGCUGUCACUUAUAGAUGGAUCCGCGCCGCAUUAGCUAGUUGGUAAGGUAACGGCUUACCAAGGCAACGAUGCGUAGCCGACCUGAGAGGGUGAUCGGCCACACUGGAACUGAGACACGGUCCAGACUCCUACGGGAGGCAGCAGCU
rnacentral:rRNA from 1 species